rnacentral:rRNA from 1 species
GAACGCUGGCGGCAUGCUUUACACAUGCAAGUCGAACGGCAGCACGAAAGAGCUUGCUCUUUUGGUGGCGAGUGGCGAACGGGUGAGUAAUACAUUGGAACGUACCGAGUAAUGGGGGAUAACUGUCCGAAAGGAUGGCUAAUACCGCAUACGCUCUGAGGAGGAAAGCGGGGGACCUUCGGGCCUCGCGUUAUUCGAGCGGCCAAUGUCUGAUUAGCUAGUUGGUGGGGUAAAGGCCUACCAAGGCGACGAUCAGUAGUGGGUCUGAGAGGAUGAUCCGCCACACUGGGACUGAGACACGGCCCAGACUCCUACGGGAGGCAGCAGUGGGGAAUUUUGGACAAUGGGCGAAAGCCUGAUCCAGCCAUGCCGCGUGUCUGAAGAAGGCCUUCGGGUUGUAAAGGACUUUUGUCAGGGAAGAAAGGGUUUGGGUUAAUACCCUGAGCUUAUGAC